rnacentral:piRNA from 1 species
UUGGGUAGAUACACCUGUUCCAAAUGGAAGU